UAAAUGGUGAACUUUCGGUGUGCUUGGUGGUGAGUCUCAGUGGUGUGCGCCUUCCUGAUCAGGAGGUUUAUUCCGAGUUAGCUCUUCCACUUAGGCGCUAUGCCGAUGGCUCCUGAACCUGUCAGUAGUUUGUUUCUUGGAGAGAACUAGUGAGUUUGUGGACGAUGUAUGAGCUUCACUAGGGCUUUCUAGCUUUCUUGUUAGCUUGGUGGAACUUCACUGGAGGUUGUGUUCUCGGUCAGUCUGGCGGCUCUAUAUGAGCUUUUGGUUAAAAGGGUGUACACGGUCCUGGGGUGGUUGGUUGGAGGCAGCAAUCUUCAAUUGUCCUUUCCAAACGACGACAUCGCUGGUUCAGUGCCUUCCUCGUGCUGCUGGUGCGAUUCUUCUUGGGUUAGUAAGCGGGUUGGAGAUUGUGAUUCUUUGUGCAGGUUGUGGCUUUUGGGUCUUCGGAAGCUGUAAGAGCCGUGUGUUUCAAAGUUUGAGGGUGCCUUUCUCUCCGGUAGCUCGCGGCAACUGAUACUCACUUCGUUCAUGCCUGUUUCCUCUGGUCCGUCAUUGUUCCGAUGAUGUCUUGUGCAAAGUCUCAGUCUUUGUUUCUUUCCUGUUGAUCUUUCUCGCUGUUUGGUG
rnacentral:lncRNA from 1 species